rnacentral:rRNA from 1 species
ACAAGCGGUGGAGCAUGUGGUUUAAUUCGAUGCAACGCGAAGACCUUACCUGGGCUUGAAAUUGCCCGGACAGCCGUGGAAACACGGUUUCCUUCGGGCCGGGUGACAGGUGCUGCAUGGCUGUCGUCAGCUCGUGUCGUGAGAUGUUGGGUUAAGUCCCGCAACGAGCGCAACCCUUGCCUUUAGUUGCCAGCAUUCAGUUGGGCACUCUAAAGGGACUGCCGGUGUUAAACCGGAGGAAGGUGAGGAUGACGUCAAGUCCUCAUGGCCCUUAUGUCCAGGGCUACACACGUGCUACAAUGGGCCGUACAAAGGGAUGCAAACCCGUGAGGAGGAGCAAAUCCCAAAAAACGGUUCUCAGUUCGGAUUGAAGUCUGCAACUCGACUUCAUGAAGUUGGAAUCGCUAGUAAUCGCGGAUCAGCACGCCGCGGUGAAUACGUUCCCGGGCCUU